rnacentral:lncRNA from 1 species
CAAAUGCAUCUUUAUAUUCAAAUGUAUAAGAAUCAUUUUAUUCCAUUAUCUUCCAUAUCUUCCAUCACAGAUAAGCCAAAGCUCACAGAGGUCAUUCACAACAUGACCAAUAGGUGGCAGAGUGAUGGGGGAAGCCCUGUGGCACCGACCUGCCACAGUUACCCCCCUUUCAACAGCUACAAGUGGUACAGGCUGGUUGAGGAAAGGGAGCAUUUCAUUAUCAAUCACCAGAACAUCACUGUCCACCCGGACAAGCCCGGGACAUACUACUGUGUCGCCACCAAUGACAUGGGGGGGAGGGGGGGGGGGGGGCUGUUUCUCAACCGAAGUGUCUUCCAUGUCCUCCCUCGUCCUUCGUUUCUGCUGUGUUCCGCUUGUUCUUUUACCCAUCUUUUUGGUCUACACGUGAGUCCUCCUUCAACACUCACUCACGUCACUCCUCUUAUUUAUAAAAUACAUAUAUUUCUUAAUCAUACCUGUUGACUACAGUUAGCAAUGACUGGAAACUCACCACAACACCACUGUUUGUGUAAAAUGUCCACUUUUUGUUUAGUGUUUUUUCAGACACAAGGGAAACAAAUCGAUCUAGCAGGGGAGGGGACAUCAAAUAAACUGCCAUGUUGUGUUCACGUUGGUUUUCUGGUAUUGUUGCAUUUCACAAAUACUGCAUUAUUCUCUUCUAUUUAUUCUGUAGUUCCUUUUGUGAAAACCCCUAGUUAAUUGUACAUGUUUGUGUGUGUGUGUGUGUACACCUAUGCCUGUGUGUCUUCUUACUUGGGUGUGUGUCAUUGUCAGGGCUGGCGUAAUGGCACAAGUGAGAACCUGGUGAGUGAAGGGUGUGCAGCAGCAUCAGACCCCCCGGGGAGCAGCAGAGAUCAGCUGUGACCAGAUGGCCCGUACCACCCAGAGCCCCUACCCCAACCGCAGCAUCCCCAUCCCAGCAGGACGUGGGGUCCAGACAGCACGUAAGAGCAUCAGGCAUGGUGUCACACAGACAAGAACACACUGUAGACAAACACACAUAAGCACCCACG